GACGAACGUUGGCGGCGUGCUUAACACAUGCAAGUCGAACGGAAAGGCCUUUUCGGAGGUACUCGAGUGGCGAACGGGUGAGUAACACGUGGGUGAUCUGCCCUGCACUCUGGGAUAAGCCUGGGAAACUGGGUCUAAUACCGGAUAGGACCGCACUUUAGUGUGUGUGGUGGAAAGUUUUUUCGGUGUAGGAUGAGCCCGCGGCCUAUCAGCUUGUUGGUGGGGUAAUGGCCUACCAAGGCGGCGACGGGUAGCCGGACUGAGAGGUUGGUCGGCCACAUUGGGACUGAGAUACGGCCCAGACUCCUACGGGAGGCAGCAGUGGGGAAUAUUGCACAAUGGGCGCAAGCCUGAUGCAGCGACGCCGCGUGGGGGAUGACGGCCUUCGGGUUGUAAACUCCUUUCGCCAGGGACGAAGCGUUUUGUGACGGUACCUGGAGAAGAAGCACCGGCUAACUACGUG
rnacentral:rRNA from 1 species